rfam:Stegodyphus mimosarum contig92064, whole genome shotgun sequence.
GCCUUCGUGGUGUAGUGGUCAGCACGCUCGACGCAUAUUCCAGAGGUCUGUGGUUCGAGUCCUGGCGAGGGCA